CAGAUGUCGAAGAUGAAAAUGAAGGUGAAGGUGGAAGAUUUCAACACAGUCAAUUUCCAGCUUCAUCCCCGAAGUAUGCACCAACAUAGUUACCCUACUUCAUGAUUAUGGUAAGCUUCCAGUCACAAAGGAAGAAUGGAUGCAAAUAUCAACAACAGUUUUCAAUAAAUGGCAGUCCCCGCAUGCCAUUGGCGCUAUAGACGGGAAGCAUAUCAAAAUUAUAAAACCCAAUUUCAGUGGCACCGAUCAUUUUAAUUAUAAGGGGUUUUGUAGCAUGGUGUUGCUGGCCAUAGUCGAU